CAAAUGUCUCAGUAAAUUAAAGUCCAGAAACUCAGAAUGAUUGUGUGCCAAUGUCAGUUUGACACUUUUAUGCUCUCCUUAAUACUGAGUAUAUUUGGAUUUAAAAAAAAUACAUAUAUGGAAUGGAGAGAUGACUCACUGGUGUACAGUGUACAGUGGCUGUUCUUCCAGAGGACCCAAGUUUGCUUCCCAACACCCACAUAACUGUUAAUAACUGUCUAUAAUUCCAUUUUCAGGGGAUCCAAUGCCUUUUUCUGGACUCCACAGACACCAGGCACAUAAAUGGCACACAGACCAAUAUGCAGACAAUAUAAGUAAACAAUAAAAUAAUAUAAAAAGAAAAACUUUAAAAUACGUCAAGAUAACUGUCACUAACAGGGAUCAUAAAUCUAAGGUUUCAAUCUUUGAAAAUGUAUGAGUCAAUACCCUAACCCCACCCCAACAUGAUGGUAUUAGGAAAUAUAAUUAAACCAUGAGAAUGGAGCCUUCAGGAAUGACAAUAGUGUAUUUAUCAAAAGAAUCUCAGGAGUAUAUUCUAGCUCUACUUUUUUAUUAUCAUAUGAGGAUACAAUGACAAGGACCAUCUGUAAACCACGAAAUGUCUUCCCAGAGAUACCCAUCUGCUUAGGUUCUCUAGCACACAGAACUGGGAAAUCAGUGUUUGCUAUUUAAUUCAGCCUGUGAUGCUCUGUUAGAGCAGCCUGAGGUGACCAAGACUGGCAUGAGGGUUUUAAUCCUGUUGGCCUGUAGAAAUGGCUUUCUAUAGACAUUUUCCUUCUUCUCAGUAGGUCAUUUGAAAAUGUGUUUUUGUUUUGUUGUUAAAAUAACUGAAAAGUAUUACUAUCAUUGUGAUUUUACUUUGUAAAAUAGGUAGCCAUCUAGUUAGCUAGCUAGCUAUUAUAAGGGUGGAAAAGGGAUGCACACAGCCCAGGGGCCCAUAGGAAUAUCAGAGGACAAUUUAUGCAAGUAUGCUCUCUCCUCCUAUCAUGUAGGUUCAGGGCAUCAACCUUAGGUCAUUGGGUUUGGUGGCAAGUGUCUUUACUCAUGGAGCCAGCUGAUAGCCUAUUUUCCUAGAUGUUUACAGUGCUAAAAUCUGGUGGUGUGCAGGAAAAUGAAAACAUGUUCACGUGGGACAUGUCUCUGAGAAAAACUGUUUUUCCUAAGCUGUUGUGAUGGCACCAAAACUGAUCCCUCCAUUGAAAAAAUUAUUAACAUGCAAUUAUAUUUAAAGUUCAAUAUAGGCUAUAAUAGUCAACAUGCUACAGAUUGACCAUUGAAUGGGCAAAUAGCUGUUUGAGGUUCUAAAACUAUCUCUAUUUCUCCAGGUCUGUGACGUUGAAGCAGACACCUGGACUCUUUGGGCUUAGAUCCUAUAGAUCGCGUAACACAAAGAACUUAUACUAAAUUAUUUCUAUGUUCUCUUACAUCCUUAAUAUUACGUGACAUAUUUGUUUAUUUUGUUUAUUUUUAAUUUUCUGAGGUCCAGUUGCCCUGUAACUCAUAAUUUUUCUGCCUCAGCCUCCAGAAUGUUCCACCUUGUUCUGAGGCAGGAUGUCCAAACCCUCCCAUUUCUUCCAAUUCAUGGCUUCUAUUGUCAUAAAUAUACAUAUGUAUUACUAAAUAUAGUUUCUAGCUACUACCAUUUUCAAUUUAUUCAAUAUUUAAAAUUUUGAAUUAUAGGAUUCUUUCACUUCCUAGGUUAGGUAUUUAAAUUCUGAAGCAUUUUACGUCUUUGAGACAAUAGUAAAUUAAAUUAGUUCCCUGAUUUUUUUUCAGCAUUUUUGCUAUUGGUAUGUAUAUUGGAUGUUGGUUUUGUAUAUUAAAUUUAUAUCCUGCCUCAAAAGUUAUAGGGCUGGAAAGAUGUCUCAGUGGUUAGGAGCACUGUGUGUUUUUCUAGAAGACCCACAUGGCAAGUCAUAACUGUUUGUAAUUCCAGUCCCAGGGGAUCCAAUACCCUCACAUAGACAUGCAUGCAGGCAAAACACUAAAGC
rnacentral:lncRNA from 1 species